GGCUGCGGCGGGGCUGGGGGGGGCCGGCACCCCGGGGGCGGCCGAGCGCGGUGCCCCCGGCCCGGCCCGGCCCGGCCCUGCGAGCGGUGCAGCCCCGGUUCCGCCGCCCGCAGCCCCUCGCCGGCGCUCCGAGCCGGGGAGCCGCGAAGGCUGCGCUGGCGCCCCGCGCCCCGCCUCGGCACGCGCGGUCGCUGCCGGGGUGAGUGCCCGGGGCGGCCUCGGGGCUCCGCGCGGUGCCCGCUCGGAGCCUGCCCGGGGAGCGCGGGGGCUCCGCGGGCCGCGCCCUGCCCUGCCCUGCCCUGCCCUGCCCUGCCCUGCCCUGCCCUGCCCUGCCCUGCCCUGCCGGCCGGAGCGCCGUGUCCCGGCGCCUCGCCUCGCCGGCAGCAGCUGGCAGCGUCCUGCGGGAGAGCGCCGCCGCCCCGUGCCGCCGCCCCGUGCCCCACCGCUGGCUGCGCGUCCCGGUUCUGUGUCGGGGGGGUUCUGUGUCGGAGCGUUGGUGCUGUGCGGAGGCGGCGGGCUCCCCACCGUAAGUACUAGCGUGGCGUAUUUUAUUCCUGCGUGAUUUUGUAGGUGGCGGUUUGGGGUUGUGUUCCUCCCUCCGGGUUGCACCGAGUUCCUGUAGCAAUAAUGUAUUUUCCAGCUUUGUUUAUGAGAGGCCCAGAUUUACCGCCACCGUUGGCGUUUGGCUGCUCAGAGGCUGCCCCGCUGGAGGCUGCAGCGGCGUCCUCCGAACGGGCGUGCUGGGGCGGCUCCUGGGUCGUGCCCGCAAUCCAAGUGGGGAGGGUGGGGUGGCGCCUCCCUGCCGAGCGGGGCAGCCCGGCCUUCCUUGGGCUCCAUUGGGGUUCCUGGGAGGCUGUUGAACUAUGAAGUGGCCUUCCACGCCGUUUGCUUUGAAGCUUUAAUUCAGGAAGUUGGAGCUCAUACCUGAAUUUCCCGAGGCAUAGAAUACAGCGAUUGAAACUGUCUUUUCCUGUGGCUACAUCUCCCAUGCCUUUGCCCCUCUGAAUUUGGACCACACCAGAACUUUGCUUUAUACUUUUCCUGCCAUCCAUGGCAGAUGCUUUUUGAGUUGGAUUCAUCAGGACAAGGCACUCUACAAAUACCAUUACAAAAAAAUUGUACUGAAUUCUUUCCAUUUGUUGUGUCAUCAGCAUGGCAGGAUGACAGCACUGAAAACGACAAGUAGAAAAGGCAAAAAGGCCUAUCUUUUCAGAGAUUGCUUUGACAGUAGGAAUGGAAGAAUAGGGUGCAACUGGGAGUCCUCAGCAAGGGAAACCCUUGCUGUGUCUGAUUCUCUCAGGGCUCUGGUGUGAGGAGCAAUAACUGAAGUCAGGAGCAGAGCUGGACGUGGCUGAGGAGGGGGUGCCUGCUCCCAUGGGAUGCUGUGCACUUGUCUCUUGCAAAGUGGGUCACUGAUGUUCUCAGAUCUGCUGCUUUCUGUUUGGAGCCUUUAUUGUAGGAAAACCCGCACAUGAAGAAAGGAAGAAACAAGAAAAUGGAAAACAAACCAGAGUUAUGUCCAUUAAAUUCUUCUGAGGAAAUGCUGGCCUGCCUUCUUCAAGUAUUCAGACCUGCUGCAGAAUAUCCAAGGCAGGUUCUCUGGUCAGCAGUAAUUCUGGGGUCUGGUUCUGCUCUCCCUCAAGAGCUGUCAGUCUUCAGGCAGCCUGUUGCUUUGUGCUCCUUCCACACAGGAGCAGACGAGCUCAUGAAUGAAACAUUACUGAUACUAAAGAGAACUCCUGGCAUCCACCUCAGCAGAAGAAACUGACUUAUCAUUCAUUGAAGACAUCUGCACUUAUACAGGGAAUGCAUACUCACACAACAGUGCCAAGCCAAGGCUACCAUUGGAGGAGAGGGACAGAAAAGGGAGAGGAAAAGGGGUGGAGGAGAGGAGAAGGAUGAGAAGGAAAAGAGGAAGAGGUGAGGGAGAUGUUCCCCUGCUACAUACAGAUGCUGCACUGCCUGCCAAAACAGCCCAGCCUGUGGGUUGCCCUGAGAGUGCCUGUUUAGCCACCCUUGGAGGAAUUGCCACCUGACCUCCUCCAGUUGGGCUCCGUUUUGACCCUAAACCUAAAAAACUUUUGCAGUCUUUAAAUACUGAAAUGGUUUGCUCUUUUUUUUUUUUUUUAAUUAUUAUUAUUAUAGAUAUUACUCAAAAUAGACCUGCAAGUGCAAGUUUGAAAUGUUUCAUUUCAAACACAGGUACAACAUAAAUGCAGUUGGAGUGGAACUUGUCUUGCAUCAAGAAAUCAAAGCAGGCAUGAAGGAAGAGAAGGAACAGUGUAUGACUGUUCCGUGGGGCAAGAUGGAUUGACCAUAUGUUGGUAUCCAGGACUUUAUGCAAAUUCUGUGUCUAUGAAAGUUACCUAAUUAAGUUGAGUUCCUGAAACAUCUCAAAUGGGGAUUUACACAAAUUGUCUUUGAACUGAUGUUCACUGCUGCUACCUGCACGUGUCCAGGAACUGCUUGGCUGCACGUGUGGCUGAGCCACCCAAGGCAGCUGUGGUGCAGCAGGAGCUGGAGGGGGCACAGCACCAACAUGCCACCAGUUCCUGGUGUCUGUGUUUGCUGUGGAGACACCUGAGGAAGGUCUUUUCUCAGAAGAACCGUGCCUUACAGAGUGUGCAGGAGGGUCUGUCUCCACUUCAGCUGUCAGCCAAACAGUGCAUGUCCCAGAAGGAUAUCCUUGAGCUUUUUCCAGUCAUCUUGCCUCUGACUGCUACUCCAAAAGCAACAAAUGUCUAGUAAGCAUCCAAGUGCCCUGCAAACCAAUGAACCUUAUUUUCAACUUGAAUCUGGAGCAACUGUAGUGAAUAAAUCAGUUUUUCUGCAUUUGAUCUGGUAUGUGGUAGGUGACUGCUUCGUCCAGUGCUUCUAGUAUGAUGCCUUAAAAACUUGAAACCUGGGAAGAGCUGCAAUAUCUUGCCAGGAAUUCAGAUGACCAUGAGGAGCCUUUGUUCAGCACUUAGCCAUUUAUGUACAUAGAUAGCAUUGAUCAUCUGGUGUACACAGAAAACCAUGUGAAGCUUCAGAGGAGAGCUGUAGAUAUGUUCCUUGUUCUUCAGAGGUCACUUGGCAACACUGCAUGGAAGUUGGGAUUAUGUGACCAUCCCAAGGCUUUGACACAUCAGUUCAUUUAAAUCCAGUUUUAAUUUCCUAUUUAUUAUCACAUAGCUUAUUGGUUUGUUAGAGACACAAAUUUGUAAUGCCUGGAAGGAAAAGCUGCAGUGUCAACUCACCUUUAACUUUAGACUUUGGAGAAACCUCACAGAAAGCAAUCAGAGAUCUCCAGGUUUAGAAGCCCUGCUGUUUGUUUGUCUACUUGCUGUGCAUGUGUGUCUGUGUUUAGAGACGUGUUUUUUUUGUUUGUUUCUUUGUUUGUUUGUUUUCCCAAAAGCUUGGAAGUGGCUGAGAAUUAUAAGAAUCUACUGAAAUGUGUAUUUGAAAAUCUCAUCCAUUCUCAGGGCAACAGUAAACUAUACCGAUUUUGUAAGAACAGACAAAUUUUGAAGGUAUGAGCCUUUGAUGCUCAGCCCCAAAGCACUGCCAUGUGGCCAGGCAUUCUCAUCCACAGGCUGGGAUUUCUCAAGAGGUGCCAGCCCAGCUGUUUGUACAAUUACAGACUUCUAAAAAGCUACCUCAUUUUUCCCCCAAUUUCAAUGUGUUUUCGUUUAACAAAUAAAGUAGCUGGAAAAUUACCCAGAAAUAUCUGACCUUUGGAAAGACCUCUAAGGCACAGUGCAAUUACCUGAUGUUCACUGAACUGGUUCACGUGGUUCCCACUCGGAGUGAUUUUCUAGGUUCACCCAACUGUGAAGAGGGGUCUGGUUAUAUGGAGGAGGGCAAAGGAGAGAAUAAACUUCAUGAAGGAGCAAGAAAUCCGUCAGGGAAUUUUACAACUUAAGUUUGCUUCAAGGGAAAGAAAGGGCAAGUAAAGGUACUCACUCAAGUCAAAGAAGCCUUUUGGAUUUGAACUUCAAAAAGAAGUAACAGAGGAAAGAUCUGAGGUAUCAGUAGCUUUUAGUAUAAACUGUUUCAUUGCAUUAGGCAGGCAUUGCAGACUACAUCAAACUUAGCUUUUUUAGCCACAUGACCAAUUCUGGUUUUUUUCCUUUUUUUUUUUUCUUUUUUCCCCAAGUAUGAUAAAAAUCUAACAAAAAUAACAUUUUUCACUUUCAGCUUUUCCUUCCUUCUGUCUUUGCUUUCACCACACAUGGGAGAUAACUUGACUAUCCCAUCACCUGUGUUCACUCCAGGGGCUUGCCAUGGUGUUUCUGCAGCCCUUUCUAUUGCAUGUUCCUUGACACUGGAACAAAGUAUGUGAGUUAUCUGGCGCUGCAAUCUCUAUUGGGCUUUAGGGAAAAUACCUUUCUAAGGAAAUAAAUUCCAUGGUUGGCACAAGUGUGCCUCUACUAUGCAUUCUUUUUUUUUUUUUUUUUUUUCAUCAGUGGAAGGUGUAAGCAGGUGUACAUAAAAGUAUGACUUUGAUAGCUUCGUAUUGUCAGGGACACAAAGUGGUGUUUUUGCCUGCUGUCCCCUCUGCUCUGAACUGCCAGCAGCACUAGAGGGGAAUGCAGGGAGACGGACCUUCGUACUUCGUGAGAACUGUAAUAUCUGAAAACCUGAAGACUCCUUAAAACUAGGGAGAUGGAUUUCUGUCUUUGAUGAGAGAGAGCACAGUAUGCAAAAGGACGUACAUUUGCACAAAAGAAAAUUAUUUUGAAUACUUUUGGAAUAGAAGGACUUCCACAAAUAAAAGCAAGUAGUCAGUGCCCCUUCUGCCUUUGUUAUUGAGCAAAAGGAACAAAUUCUCCGAGACUGGCUAGAAAGAGAAGAACAUCAUCAUGGAACUGUAGCAAUGAAGCAGUUUCUAAAUAUUUGGUGUAAUAUCUUUCCAAUAAAAGACAUUUCAGAAUUUACA